rnacentral:misc_RNA from 1 species
AAGUCGUAACAAGGUUUCCGUAGGUGAACCUGCGGAAGGAUCAUUAACACGUAUCCAACGUUAAACCCCCCGUGAACCUUCAGUGCGCUCGCACUUUCUUAGAAAAGGUAGCAAUCCCUGGUAAAUCAUUGCCGAACAGUUUUGAUUCAGGGACUUCUGCGUAGACUGUGCUUGAGCGUGAGGCAAGUGGCCUAGCUCUGUACGAAUGGCGCAGUCACGAUCGCUAGAGGCCGACACGGCCGGCGACCGGGUCACUGGGCGCGAGCCCCCCUCGUCACCUUUGCAUGAAAACGGGCCUGCGCUUAAUUGCGCGGCCACCAAACUCGAACAACUGUUAACAAUGGAUAUCUUGGUUCUC